rnacentral:rRNA from 1 species
UCCUGGCUUAGGAUGAACGCUAGCUACAGGCUUAACACAUGCAAGUCGAGGGGCAUCAGGUACUGUGCUUGCACAGUAUGCUGGCGACCGGCGCACGGGUGAGUAACGCGUAUCCAACUUCCCAUGACUCCGGUUCAGCCCGCCGAAAGGCGGAUUACUCCCGGAUGGUUUCCGAAGAGGGCCUCUGAUUUGGAAUAAAGAUUUAUCGGUCAUGGAUGGGGAUGCGUCUGAUUAGGCAGCAGGCGGGUAACGGCCCACCUGGCCUACGAUCAGUAGGGGUUCUGAGAGGAAGGUCCCCCACACUGGAACUGAGACACGGUCCAGACUCCUACGGGAGGUAGCAGUGAGGAAUAUUGGUCAAUGGACGAGAGUCUGAACCAGCCAAGUAGCGUGCAGGAAUGACGGCCCUAUGGGUUGUAAACUGCUUUUAUAUGAGGAUAAAGGACAUUACGUGUGAUGUUUUGCAGGUAUCAUAUGAAUAAGGACCGGCUAAUUCCGUGCCAGCCGCCGC